CCGGGUCCUACGGCAGACACCCGGCAGUCAGGACGAUCCGUCUCAAGCGCUGC
rnacentral:ncRNA from 1 species